AGUCUUGUUUGAUGAAAUGCCUUAAAGAAAUUUCAUAUUAAGUUUAUUUUCUGGGCAUUUUUUUCAUAUGUAGUUUAUAUUUCGAGUUGAAACUUGAUAUAAUCCACCAGUUUAGUUUGGUUCAGAGAUUGGAAUGAUUUAUGGGUUUAGUUUUAGGGUUUCAACCAAGAGGUGUUGCUCGGAUGAUACAUACACUAAACGUGUUUGACCUGCUGGUGUGAACUGUGACAAGACAGAUAUACCUGUAAAUGCUUGGUGGGUCACUGUCUUGUAAAACUGCAAAUAUAAAUGGAACUCUGCUCUACCUUCUUGGUAAAUGCAGAUCAAUGCUUGAGCUGAAGAAGCUUCAUGCUAUUGGGAUCUCUUUUGGUUUAUCUCAUGAAGACUCAUUUAUCUACAAAAUCCUUUCGUUUUCUGCUCUGUCCAAUUCAGGCGACAUUGAUUAUUCCUACCGGGUUUUCUCCCAGCUUUCCAGUCCAACAAUUUUUAGCUGGAAUACAAUCAUAAGAGGCUAUUCAAAUAGCAAUAAUCCAAUCCGUUCCCUAUUUAUUUUUCUAAAGAUGCUGCGACACGGGGUUGCACCGGACUACUUAACAUACCCAUUUCUCGUGAAGGCCUCAGCACGCCUUUCAAAACAGGAAAGUGGUGUAUCUGUGCAUGCCCAAAUUAUAAAAACUGGGCACGAGUCUGAUAGAUUUAUCCAAAAUUCUUUGAUUCACAUGUAUGCUUCUUGUGGGAAUAUUAUGUGGGCUCAUAAAAUAUUUGAUAGUAUUCAGGGAAAAAAUUUGGUUUCAUGGAAUUCCAUGUUAGAUGGCUAUGCCAAGUGUGGGGAGAUGGCUUUGGCUCAGAAAGUUUUUGAGUCAAUGCAGGAGAGGGAUGUUCGGUCAUGGAGCUCUUUGAUUGAUGGUUAUGUGAAGGAUGGGGAGUACAGGGAAGCCAUGGCUGUCUUUGAAAAGAUGCGGGCUGUUGGUCCCAAAGCCAAUGAAGUGACUAUGGUGAGUGUCUUGUCUGCUUGUGCACAUCUUGGUGCUCUAGAAAAGGGAAGAAUGAUGCACAAGUAUAUUGUUGACAAUUGUUUACCAAUGACAAUGGUCUUACAAACCUCUCUUGUGGACAUGUAUGCUAAAUGUGGGGCAAUAGAGGAGGCUUUGCUUGUAUUUCGUGGCGUCUCAAAGAGUCAAACUGACGUGUUCAUUUGGAAUGCAAUGAUCGGAGGUCUUGCAACACAUGGGUUAGUGGAAGAAUCUCUUAAAUUGUUUAAGGAAAUGCAAAUGGUCGGCAUCCGAUCUGAUGAGAUCACAUACCUCUGCUUGUUGGCUGCCUGUGCCCAUGGAGGACAAGUUAAAGAAGCAUGGUACUUCUUUGAGAGCCUUGUUAAAUGUGGCAUGACACCUACAAGUGAGCACUAUGCUUGCAUGGUAGAUGUGCUGGCGCGUGCAGGUCAAUUAACCACUGCAUACCAAUUUAUUUGUCAAAUGCCCAUAGAACCAACAGCUUCCAUGUUAGGUGCUCUUUUUAGUGGGUGUAUUAACCAUAGAAAUUUAGAUCUUGCAGAAACAGUUGGGAGGAAGCUUAUUGAGCUAGAUCCAAACAAUGAUGGAAGAUAUAUUGGUUUGUCAAAUGUAUAUGCAGUUGUCAAACGUUGGGAUGAUGCAAAGAGCAUGAGAGAAGCCAUGGAAAGAAGAGGAGUGAAAAAAUCACCUGGGUUUAGUUUUGUUGAAAUAUCUGGGAUCCUUCAUAGAUUUAUUGCCCAUGAUAAAACACACCCCGAUUCAGAUGAAACUUAUUCUAUGCUACAUUUUGUUGUCUGUCAAAUGAGACAUGGUUGUCGCCAAGACAAUCAGGAGGAGAAUUUGUUGAAUGAUACAUCAAUAGAAGACGAUUUGAUUCUCUUUUGAGUAGAUUGCGUUAAAGUUUGUAGCAGUUAACAUUUGUUGUGGAAGAGUUAUUGCACAAGACCUGGAUUUCAAUACCACAAAAGGCAACCUGCAGUCAGAAGUAUUGAACCUAUAAUCCAUUUCUCCAACUUCGCACUUGGUGACACACUUGUAUAUCUAUUUUCUAGGUGUUGAGAUUGUGAGUUGUUUAAGGGAAUUCCUUUAUAAAGGGCUAAUACCAAAACUCCACCAAUGCACACAAUAGCUCCCAAGGUUUUGGCUUUACCACUCUUGCUUUUCAAGUUCACCUUCUCUAUCCUAGAAAAGUUUGAAACCGAAAGGCACCAUGUUGAGGAAUGCACAUGAGAAUGUAGCAGAUGUAUACUCAAGUCCAAGAAGAAACAGGUAUUGGGGAAGUGUUACUCUGAAAGGCAUUCAUAGAAUGUUAUUUAGUCGAUAACUAUAGUAUUAGCACAGAACUAUAAGUGUGUUCUUUUGUCCCGAAAACUCAUACCCGACAAGAGCAGAUAGAAAAAGGAGACAUAUUAUGUGAGCCUCCAGUUUGUGUUUCCUGUAUAAAGAAAUUGAAAACUGCUUCAAUAUGGCCAAACAAGUUAUAAAUAAGUUGUACCAAACACCCAAGGGUUCUUACCCUUCAUAGAACCAUGCAAUAGGUGUCAUGAAGAUGAAUGAAAUUGCUUGUCGAUAUGUUACAAUUGA